UAAUACUUAGGGUGCAAGCGUUAAUCGGAAUUACUGGGCGUAAAGCGCGCGUAGGCGGUCUGGUCAGUCAGAUGUGAAAGCCCCGGGCUUAACCUGGGAACUGCGUUUGAAACUGCCAGACUAGAGUGUGGUAGAGGGAAGUGGAAUUCCGUGUGGAGCGGUGAAAUGCGUAGAGAUGCGGAGGAACACCAGUGGCGAAGGCGACUUCCUGGACCAACACUGACGCUCAGGUGCGAAAGCGUGGGGAGCAAACAGGAUUAGAUACCCUGGUAGUCCACGCCGUAAACGAUGUCUACUAGCCGUUGGGGAGCUUGUCUCCAUAGUGGCGUAGCUAACGCAAUAAGUAGACCGCCUGGGGAGUACGGUCGCAAGACUA
rnacentral:rRNA from 1 species